CUGGCUGACUGUUACCAAACUGAGACCCUGGAGGAAGGGUAGAUAAGGUAGAAUAUUAGGGUGAUUUGAAAAUGAUGGAAUAAGAAGGCUCAAAUAGAAAAUGUUUGGUUUGGAAAUAGACUGAGUCACACUGACCUAUGGAGAAAAUCAGAAGGAUAUAAUUUGGCUGAAAAAUAUUACUGUUGGUGUGUGUAUGAGUACAUAGCAGUCUUAUGUCCUCUACUAUCAAUACAGUAUUCCCUAAAUGCCAUCUCAGGUCACCAUAAUUUACAGAUAUCCAUGUUCUGCAUGAAGCAAUGAAAAGAUUCUACAGUGCUCAUGGCAAAAAUGUCUGACUGAAUCCAACAGAUUGCAGUAUAGCAGAAUUUUAAAAAAAUCAUAUGCUAUGGAUAUACAAGAAGACAAAACUAAGUUUUAGAGGGCUAGGGUGGGGCAUACUUUAAGAGUUCUGAAAAAUGACAACACAUACCAAAGUGAACAACUUCUGGUGACUCAAUCUUUUUCAGAAUCAUCUUUGUAAUCAGUUCUUCAGGAAUACUUUGACCUCCAAAAAGCAAUUCCUGCAUCUAAAGGAAAAUGUAAAGCAUAACAUCUUAUAAUAUUUGCAUGGUGGCCCCAUUCAGCUGCCACUGACUUCAAGGGGAACAAGAUGGGGCCUUAUGAAUGUCAUGAAAUGUAAUAAAACAGUAGAUUUUACCUUAAGUCCAUAUUCUGUUCCUGCAGUAAUAUUUUCUUCUAUUACUUCCAAAGCUAAAAUAUG